CUACAUUUACACCACACACACACACUCUCGCUCCUCUUUCCCACACCAGAUCUCCUCGCCCUCGAGUUUUCCGCCAGUUUGGCUCGCCGCCGCAGCACCUUCGUCCGAAUCCAUCCACUCCCGCACUCAUAUGAGGUACUAAUCAAGGAUCCACCCACUCUUCUCCUCGUCAUCGCAAUAUUUGACGUGUUUAAUGUGCGUUGUUUUUAUGACAGAUUUUUUGCGAAAUCAUGCGGAGUGGAUCUGGGAUAGUAGUGGUUUUAAGGGAGAAUACAAGUUCAUUUUCUGUUAGGUGGGGAGGAGCACUUUAAUUUUUGUUAUUAUGAUUCACCGAUUUCAUCUGUAUGCUCGUUGCAACAAGGAUUUUGGGGGCUAGGGUUUGGUCGGGGAGGGGUGGGGUGGGGUGGGAGGAUGCGGGAUCUGACCCGCAUGAUGAAAUUUUUGUCGAUUGGGAAGCAGAGUGGCUCAGUCUUCAGGUUCUAGUCUUGUAAAGAUGUGUUUGCGAAUUAGUAGAGUUAGGGGAACAGGAGACAGGAGAUGAUGCAUGUUUGUACGGUGGUUGGGGGAAGUGCUUGGGCGGGCGGACAUGUAUCUUGGUAUCAUCUACCCAUGAUUUCUAUCUGGACCCCCCCCCCUUGGUGGUGAGUCACACUUUAAUUUUUGUUAUUAUGAUUCAUCGAUUUCAUCUAUGUGCUCGCCAUGACAAGGAUUUUUGGGGCUAGGGUUUGGUCGGGGAGGGGUGGGGUGGGAGGAUGCGGGAUCUAACCCCACAUGAUGAAAUUGUUGUCGAUCGGGAAGCGGUGUGGCUUAGUCUUCAGGUUCUAGUCUUGUAAAGAUUUGUUUGCAAAUUAGUAGAGUCAGGGAAACAUGAGACACGAGAUGAUGCAUGUUUGUGCGGUGGUUGGAGGAAGUGUUUGGGCGGGCAGAAAUGCAUCUUGGUAUCAUCUAAUCAUUGUUUCUAUCUAGACCCCCCCCCCCUUGAUGACCUCCUAUGAUUUUCAAAUCCUUCAAUUUUUUUUAUUUUCCUCUCGUUGAAGGGACAUAUAUAUGGUUUACAAGUUUUUUGAUCUCACAUUAUUGUUUCCUACUAAAAGUAUCACAGGCGGCGAUAGUUGAUGGAAUAAAAAGACGGCAGAUUCUCAUCCACAUAGACCAACACCAAAGGUAAUUAGUCUAUGCACACAACUACUUCAUUUGCAUGCUUUAUUCACAUGCCAUUGGCAAAUAUGUGACAUUAAAUUAAUUUCUAGUUCGCUUAUGUGUGUCCUAUUUUACAUAGAUUCCAUGGCAAUCUCCCUAGUACACCCCAACAAUUUUUAUUUGCUCAUGACUUUGUGACUACGCAUCAUAUAUGACAAGUUUUGUUAUCCACAUAUGGAUUCGUGUUACCUAUGAGACACAUUUAACUUUUUUUUGUGGUAUUUUUUUGGUAUGAAACACAAUGUCAUUCUCUACAUAUGCAUGCAUAGCAACUUCUUCCUGAAUUUUUUGGUCAGACAAUUAAUAUCUCUCAAAUUUUUUGUAGUGUCCUUAUAUGGUAUUUUCUUCACGUUCUCCCCAUGUGUGCAUAUUGUACAUUUAUCUCGUGGCACUCCUUUGCAAAGGGGUGGUGCUUUUCUUUCUCUUGAGGUGUGGAUACACAUUGACAACUUUGUUGUUCAUAAAUGGAUUUACAUCUUUGUUUGGCGUGUGGCAAGUUUUGUUUACUUAACACUAUAGGGCCAAGCUCCACAACCAAACUUUUCUUUCAUGCCACAUGAUUUUGCUGAUUUUUCACGCAUACCCUCUCUAAUUUUGCAUUUUCUUUCUCACUAGACAUCAUGUCGAAAAAUUAGACAUUGGACAUCAAUGACUUGAAAUAAAUAUAUCUCAUGAACCUUUCGUUGUAUCCACAUGAAAAAACAAGCUUAUUUAUCAGAUGAUAAAGGCAAACACAGAGGUUGAUGGCUCUUUCAACAAUAUGCACGUAGUUCAUGGAAAUCUUUGCACAAUUAACAUCUCAACUUAUACUUAUAUUAUAGUAGUUCAUGCUCACAUGUCAUGGCAACUUUAGUUGGGCCAAGUACUGGUAGUAUCAACUUUUUUUGCCCAAGUCACAUGGGCUGCUUCAUGAUAGGGUUGUCUAGGGGUGCACUCCAUGUUAACUAUAUUAUUUUGCAAUUUAGAUGGCAACUUUCUCUUGUUUCUCUAUGCAAACAAUUUUUUCCUCAUCUUCGCCAUUUUUCACUAUUGGUCUAUGAAUGCCAGUGAACUACAUCUUCUUCUUGGGCAUAUACUACAUCUUCUUCUGGGGCAUAUAGGGAUUUAAGAUAUGGAAUGAUCUCAAUACAAAUCUUACUAGUUCUACCGAGGUACAUUAUUUGGUCUUGUGUUCUUAUCCAUUUCCUCUAAGUGCACCAUUCGACUAUGUGCCAUUUUGGAGUAUGACCUUGCGUGUUUUCUUUCCCAUCCUGGUAUUUGUGUUUUUGGAUAUUGUCUGCGCAACUGCGAAAAUAACCACGACACAUGGG
rnacentral:lncRNA from 1 species